GCCUAAAGCGUCCGUAGCCGGCUCUGUCAGUUUUCGGUUAAAUCCAUAUGCUCAACAUAUGGGCCGCCGGGAAUACUACAAAGCUAGGGAGUGGGAGAGGUAGACGGUACUCCGUAGGAAGGGGUAAAAUCCUUUGAUCUAUGGAUGACCACCAGUGGCGAAGGCGGUCUACCAGAACACGUUCGACGGUGAGGGAUGAAAGCUGGGGGAGCAAACCGGAUUAGAUACCCGGGUAGUCCCAGCUGUAAACUAUGCAAACUCAGUGAUGCAUUGGCUUGUGGCCAGUGCAGUGCCGCAGAGAAGUCGUUAAGUUUGCCGCCUGGGAAGUACGUACGCAAGUAUGAAACUUAAAGGAAUUGGCGGGGGAGCACCACAAGGGGUGAAGCCUGCGGUUCAAUUGGAGUCAACGCCAGAAAUCUUACCCGGAGAGACAGCAGAAUGAAGGUCAAGUUGAAGCCUUUACCAGACAAGCUGAGAAGUGGUGCAUGGCCGUCGCCAGCUCGUGCCGUGAGGUGUCCUGUUAAGUCAGGUAACGAGCGAGAUCCCUGCCUCUAGUUGCUACCAUUACUCUCAGGAGUAGUGGGGCGAAUUAGCGGGACUGCCGUAGUUAAUACGGAGGAAGGAGAGGGCCACGGCAGGUCAGUAUGCCCCGAA
rnacentral:rRNA from 1 species